rnacentral:lncRNA from 1 species
GGGGGUAAUAUGUAGACAAGCCUUACCCCUACCCAAAAAGGCAGAGAGGCUGUUUCCAAUCGACCCCCGGCUCAUAGGCUAAAAGGAAAAACAGCAGUAACACAAAAACAAUGACAAAAACAAAAACAAAAACAAUAGAGCAUUAGUAACUCCAGCAGAAAUAGCGUAGAUAGCGUAAAUAAUUAUCUAAACAUACGAAUCAUAAGUACAAUCGCAUGCAAUAAUAUCAUACAGUAACUACCAUAACUAACAGCCAUAGGGGGGACAUAAGCUAAAACACAAAUCAUCUAUGGGUAACCCUGCUGACCCACACCCAACCCCGGAUGAGGCGUGUGAAAAACUCUAGGAGUCCCUAUCCUACAACCCUGAUUCUAGACCUCCAGACUUUCCU